UACGGGGGGGGCAAGCGUUGUUCGGAAUUACUGGGCGUAAAGGGCUCGUAGGCGGCCAACUAAGUCGGAUGUGAAAUCCCCAGGCUUAACCUGGGAACUGCAUCCGAUACUGGAUGGCUUGAAUCCGGGAGAGGGAUGCGGAAUUCCAGGUGUAGCGGUGAAAUGCGUAGAUAUCUGGAGGAACACCGUUGGCGAAGGCGGCAUCCUGAACCGGCAUGACGCUGAGGAGCGAAAGCCAGGGGAGCAAACGGG
rnacentral:rRNA from 1 species